GGGCAGCGAACGGCGGAGAGAGGGAGUGAGAUGGAGGACAUUGACAGCGGAUUUUAAACGCAGCUUCUAGCUGCAAGGCCACCCAAGCCAGUGUUUUUCAUCACCAAAGCAUCCCUACCGAUGUCUAUGUGUAGUGUAGAACAUGCACGUGGUGCAACGUUGUCAACAAGGGAUACCCACGAGGCUAAUAAUCUUAUAUUGUGGAAGGAGAGCCACGUUCGUAAUAUCUGCUUCCCAGUUAGAUGAGUAACUGUGUGAUUAGUUUAGCAUCAUGCUAACAGUAGCCGACCCAUCCAUGGUGGAUUGAUUCACAGUAGCCUCAAUUUCAUCACGCACUAACACACAGAAUGCCUGCGACAGAUAUGUUUUUCUCCUCUAAGUAUAUAGGUGAGCGUUUGAUGUUGCCAUGAGAGGACGUAGCCCCCAGUUAGUCAACCAUCCAUCCUUUUGUUUGUCAGACUGUUUGCCUGCUUGGCUACAGUAGCCUGCAAAAACAGCUCUCAGCCUCUUAUCACUUUGCAUGAAAAUAUCUUUAGUAUAUUGUUUUUUCUCCGAAGAUAAACAGAGCCACUGGGAGAACUGUCUUCCUGUCAUCAGAAACAUCCCACCUGUGUUCUGCUCUCACACACCAUUAGCUCCUGUCUAGACCAGUGAUGUGUAUUAACCCUGGAUGACUGGCAGGGGGUGGUGUAUUUAAACCACCUAGCAGUCUUCUUGGUACUUGUCACUUGUAAAAGAGACUACACAUGUUACUGACCCCUACUUAAUUCCAUGUAAUUUUGUUCUCGAAACAUUUAAUGUAAAUACUGUAGAAUUCCAUUCAUUCCUAUGGAGGACUGCUCCUACUGGGGAGUGCCAGUGUGGCUUCAAAGCCUCUCAAUUAAGUGAUAAUGCUUGAGAAGCCGGUGUUUGGAGAAUAUUUUGGAACGUUGUUACCGUGCCAAUAUAUCCUCAAAACACUGUCUUCGAAGGCAUUGAAUCACUUUUAUACAAUGGGUUACCAACAUAAUAAUAAUGAUUGACAUAUUAUUAUUCCGUUAUUAUUAGAGGCUUGUGUCUUUUUUAAUAUGAAGGGAUAUUUCACUUUCUCUGGUCAUAGGAGUAACAACAUGAAUUGGUACAGAAAUAAUGCAGUGCAACUUAAGUUUCGCCAUCAGCUGGAUGACUGUCCUCUUUUUUCAGUGAAGGGAGGGAGAGAGGAGGGACGGUAAGUCAGGUGACAGGAAGCUUCCCUGCUGCUCCCUCCCUCCUCUCAGUGACCAUCAGAUGGAAGACUGUCCUCUUUUUUCAGUGAAGGGAGGGAGAGAGGAGGGACGGUAAGUCAGGUGAGAGGCAGCUUCCCUGCUGCUCCCUCCCUCCUCUCAGUGACCAUCAGCUGGAAGACUGUCCUCUUUUUUCAGUGAAGGGAGGGAGAGAGGAGGGACGGUAAGUCAGGUGAGAGGCAGCUUCCCUGCUGCUCCCUCCCUCCUCUCAGUGACCAUCAGCUGGAAGACUGUCCUCUUUUUUCAGUGAAGGGAGGGAGAGAGGAGGGACGGUAAGUCAGGUGAGAGGCAGCUUCCCUGCUGCUCCCUCCCUCCUCUCAGUGACCAUCAGCUGGAAGACUGUCCUCUUUUUUCAGUGAAGGGAGGGAGAGAGGAGGGACGGUAAGUCAGGUGAGAGGCAGCUUCCCUGCUGCUCCCUCCCUCCUCUCAGUGACCAUCAGAUGGAAGACUGUCCUCUUUUUUCAGUGAAGGGAGGGAGAGAGGAGGGACGGUAAGUCAGGUGAGAGGCAGCUUCCCUGCUGCUCCCUCCCUCCUCUCAGUGACCAUCAGAUGGAAGACUGUCCUCUUUUUUCAGUGAAGGGAGGGAGAGAGGAGGGACGGUAAGUCAGGUGAGAGGCAGCUUCCCUGCUGCUCCCUCCCUCCUCUCAGUGACCAUCAGAUGGAAGACUGUCCUCUUUUUUCAGUGAAGGGAGGGAGAGAGGAGGGACGGUAAGUCAGGUGAGAGGCAGCUUCCCUGCUGCUCCCUCCCUCCUCUCAGUGACCAUCAGAUGCAGACCAUCAGUCCCAGUAAAUAAAGGCUGUAUAUUAUGCUCACUCAGCAGUGCCCCGCAAGUAAUACAACAAAUGUUCUAUUACCUGUGUGAUCAUGGACCUAAAAUGUUAUAUUACCCGUGUGAUCAUGGACCUAAAAUGUUAUAUUACCCGUGUGAUCAUGGACCUAAAAUGUUAUAUUACCCGUGUGAUCAUGGACCUAAAAUGUUCUAUUACCCGUGUGAUCAUGGACCUAAAAUGUUCUAUUACCUGUGUGAUCAUGGACCUAAAAUGUUAUAUUACCCGUGUGAUCAUGGACCUAAAAUGUUCUAUUACCUGUGUGAUCAUGGACCUAACAUGUUCUAUUACCUGUGUGAUCAUGGACCUAAAAUGUUCUAUUACCUGUGUGAUCAUGGACCUAAAAUGUUAUAUUACCCGUGUGAUCAUGGACCUAAAAUGUUAUAUUACCUGUGUGAUCAUGGACCUAAAAUGUUCUAUUACCUGUGUGAUCAUGGACCUAAAAUGUUCUAUUACCCGUGAUCAUGGACCUAAAAUGUUCUAUUACCUGUGUGAUCAUGGACCUAAAAUGUUCUAUUACCCGUGUGAUCAUGGACCUAAAAUGUUCUAUUACCUGUGUGAUCAUGUACCUAAAAUGUUCUAUUACCCGUGAUCAUGGACCUAAAAUGUUAUAUUACCCGUGUGGUCAUGUACCUAAAAUGUUCUAUUACCCGUGAUCAUGGACCUAAAAUGUUCUAUUACCCGUGAUCAUGGACCUAAAAUGUUCUAUUACCCGUGAUCAUGGACCUAAAAUGUUCUAUUACCCGUGAUCAUGGACCUAAAAUGUUCUAUUACCCGUGAUCAUGGACCUAAAAUGUUCUAUUACCCGUGAUCAUGGACCUAAAAUGUUCUAUUACCCGUGAUCAUGGACCUAAAAUGUUCUAUUACCCGUGAUCAUGGACCUAAAAUGUUCUAUUACCCGUGUGAUCAUGGACCUAAAAUGUUCUAUUACCCGUGUGAUCAUGAACCUAAAAUGUUAUAUUACCCGUGUGGUCAUGGACCUAAAAUGUUAUAUUACCCGUGUGAUCAUGGACCUAAAAUGUUCUAUUACCCGUGAUCAUGGACCUAAAAUGUUUUAACAUAAUUUGAAAAGGUUCUGAGAAAAACAAGGGUAAUCAAGAGUAAAUCCGAUUAUGUCGGCACACCCCACGUUGUCACCAUAAUAAGAGUUCAAAAUGCCCACUGUGUUCAUACAGUAUUUCAGGAGAACAUAUGAAUUCUUUAGACAUUCAGAAUGGUGACAAAUGCAUGCUGAGGGCAAAUAGAGAGCCACUCUACAAAUGUCCACUAACUCAAACAGGUCUAUAACAGAUAAAAAUAUCAAAUAUGUUCCAACUUCCCCCAGUCACACCGUACUAAUAGUGAGCGAGCAACUUUCAAACAAUGAUCCCCACUUUUCCCUACCAGCAUAUCAAGGAAAUGAUGAGGAGCACUACAAAGUUUUAGGAUAUUUUUCAAUGAAAGUAAAGUGCAAUAGGAAGACCAGAAAAUAGUCGAUAAUAAAUGAUUAUAAUUAUUAUUUGUAAAAAUAAUUUUAUUAUUAUAUUUCCUUUAAAAACAGCGCAUUUAUAUUUGUACAACAUUUAUACACAUAAAAACAGCAUUUGAAUAUUAUAUUUACAUUUGUUAAAACUACAUGUUGUUAAAAACAAUAGAAACAACCAUGAAUAAAAUUACUUUUUCUUGUAAAACAUCCAAUCUGUAAAAGCUAUUUAAAAUGUAUACUAAUGAUUUAACAAAAGUAAUGAUGUGUCAUGAAAGGAGUGUGGCUAUUUGCGCUGGCAAAGCGGUUUUAUGGGAUCUGAUAUUUAUGAGUUUUUCACUCCCCUGGUAUUGGUUGGUCUCGGCAAGAAAUGACGAGUAAAAAUGUAUCUGACACCAAGACAAGACCAAGACACUCCUAGGCCGGAUUUGAGUAGGCUACUACAACACUGAAGAUAACUGAGGGAUGCUACACUGAAUCAUAAUACAAGUGGGUCUGUCAUACAGCCACAUAAAACCCCACUGAAUAGUGAAGGCUACUUCUUCCUGUCAUUUCUUUCACAUUGUUUGCUUAUAACUGAUGAUCCCUCUUGAGUAGGACAAGUUUGCAUAGUCAAGCAUAGUCAACAUGCAGUGAUGAUGUAUUGGGUCUAUAGGCCACCUCACAAACCUCAUUGUUACAGAACUGUUUUUAAUUGCUUAACAUUAACAAAAAAAUCUGAGCGGUAGAUCUCGGAUUGCAUUUUGACUCAAAGUGAUUUUGAAUCCGUUGGUGACCACUGCUCUAAACUAAAGCAUCAUUAAUCAGACAAGAGUAUAGACAAAUACAGUCAGGCUAUUAUACAGCGUCCAUAAGUGGGCCGCAAUUACCUAUUGUAGUCUAGGAAAAGCCCUUGAAACUGUUUAUGAAUGAGUAGUUACACAUUUACAUUUAUGAGAAGUGAAUUAGGCCUCAUAUUAUAGAGACAAACAUUCCUAAUCGGGCAAGGUACAUUGGACACACACACACACACACACACACACACACACACACACACACACACACACACACACACACACACACACACAUAGAGAAGAUGCUGUAUUCUGCCUCAGAAGCAGCAGGUUUAGUGACUCAGCAAUUUAUCAAGACUGCUCAUCGGAUGGAGAGAAGAGGAGAGGAUGAGGUGAGAAAGGACAGAACAGAAUUAAGAGGACAGGACAAGUGAGUGAAGAAGAGGAGAAGAGGGGAGAUAAAACAGAACUGGGUUUUACUGGCACUUGCAGUAUGAAGGGCUUUCAUGCUAUUUCUGUAGUUACACCUUUUCUCACUGUAUCAUCCUGAAUGAGUUGUUACUUGAGUAAUCAUGACAUUACUACUCAAAUAUGUAAAAAAUAAAUAAUAAUUUGGAGUGUAUAAUACUGUGAGAAUAAAGUUCCAUCCAUCA